rnacentral:lncRNA from 1 species
CCGAGACCCUCGGAAGGGUUUGCACUUUCUGUGGAUGUAUAAUUUCUGUUGAUUAACAGGAGUUGUGGGAAGGAGCCCUUUUGUAAAACUGAUGACAGGGAGGAGCUGCCUGGGGCAGAGGCUGUCAAAUGAUCUCCUUUGUGACUGCAACAGUGCAAAUAUUACCAAGGAACCAAAAUCCCUUCCCUCAUCCAGGGCUCCCUGGGGGCAGCAGUACUCAAACACAGAACUCUCCCUGUUGCCAGAGAUGAAUCUUACAGGUGUUGCCAUGUCAAAACAGCAUCAUUUUCUCCCAGCUCAGUUGAGUCUCACCCAGCACAGGGGGUUUGAAGUCAGGUCCUUCAGCCAGAUAACAGAUAGGCAGCAGCUUCUGGUGUUGCACUCUCGGGUAUUGAGUUUCCAGAGCUGGUGCUUGUUUCCUGCAAUCCUGAAUUACCUGCAGAGCUGACACCAAGUGCUGGAUGCAAACAGAAUCUGGAAUUUGCCCUUGAACAAAUAGCAUCCAGGCAAGAUGCUGCACAUGCCACACGUGUCACCUUCUGCAAGAACUCUGCUUCCCCUUGGUUUUGCAGUUGAUUAAAUAGCAGUUGUAUUCCUUGUAUAAAAUCUGAGUAUCUUGGACUGGUCUGGUGGGAGGGGACAACAAACUUGUUCAUGUUGGAGCACGAGCCCACUUGCAUUGAGAGGAAAAAAAGGAUUCUUUUAGCAACUUUCAGGGUAGCAAGAUAGGAUUUAAAUGAAUUUGGCUCUG